UACUGCUAUCAGUGUUCGAUUAAGCCAUGCGAGUUAAAUGUUCUUCGUGAACAUGGCGUACUGCUCAGUAACACGUGGAUAACCUGCCCUAAGGUCCGGCAUAACCCCGGGAAACUGGGGAUAAUACCGGAUAAACCAUAGAUACUGGAAUGUUCUGUGGUUAAAAGUUCCGGCGCCUUAGGAUGGAUCUGCGGCCUAUCAGGUAGUAGUGGGUGUAAAGUACCUACUAGCCGACGACGGGUACGGGUUGUGAGAGCAAGAGCCCGGAGAUGGAUUCUGAGACAUGAAUCCAGGCCCUACGGGGCGCAGCAGGCGCGAAAUCUUUACAAUGCGGGAAACCGCGAUAAGGGGACACCGAGUGCCAGCAUACAAUGCUGGCUGUCCACAUGUGUAAAUAGCAUGUGAUAGCAAGGGCCGGGCAAGACCGGUGCCAGCCGCCGCGGUAACACCGGCGGCCCGAGUGGUAAUCACUAUUAUUGGGUCUAAAGGGUCCGUAGCCGGUUUGAUCAGUCUUCCGGGAAAUCUGACAGCUCAACUGUUA
rnacentral:rRNA from 1 species